UUUAGCCUGGGCUUGAGCGCGCGCAGAAGUCAGCUUCGUGACUUCCUUCUCAGGAUGGAACCAGCUUGGUGGCUUGAGGCUUAGCUAAGGGAGCAGAAGACUAACCGUGGUCACUACACAGGCUCUCAAAAUCCUUGCAGCAGUUCCCAAACUCUUGGCAGCGGGCAUUGCAGUGACAUUGGUGGUGCUUGUCAAAGGCUUCGUAGCAGCGGCCCUGGCAGGAGGAAAGGGGUUCUGAGUUGCAAAUCAGAAACUUGAAGAUGAAAUGGCUACUACGCUGGGUAUUGCCUUUAUCUUGAAUGCCAGCCUGAUGGUCCAAGGUGAACAAGCCUUCCUGUGUUUUCUGAAUGUGCAGUUCCCCCGCACUUUGCCUGCCACCAUGUAAGAUGUGUCUUUGCGCCUCCUUUGCCUUCCACCAUGAUUGUGCGGCCUCCCCAGCCAUGUGGAACGGCCCUGAAGGCAGCCCGUAUUUGUCUGGAUGUCUUCAUUCUUCCAGUCUAAGAACUCCUAAUUCAUCUCUGCACUCCCUGAGGCAUCAGCACUUGAGAGUAAACUCCUUUGAAUCCCUUGAGCCCCACGAGGUGGAUUUUCUCUCAAGAGCUCCCAGGCUAUGCUGAUGAAGUACCUCUUCUCUGCUUCUCUCCAGAAUAGUCAAAACCCUCAAAAUCCUCAAAAGUUCCUGGAGGUGGGAGGUUCCACCCCCAACUCUAUCCUCGCCUCUUCUACUGGUCUAGCCCGCAAGCCCCUCGGAGUUCCUGAGGGGCAGACAGGCCCUGGUGCACACAGGCGCUCCAUGCCAGGCCCUUGGGCUCUGGAGCCCCUGACACUGCCCUGGCACCUCAGACCCCAGGACUGGACACCCACAUGCUCCAGCCCAGUCUUCACACAGGAUCUCCUGCCCCCAUGCACACACUGAGGGCCAGGAUGCACCGUGCAACCCCUAUCCUAGUGCUGAACACCCCUUCCUCAGCCAGCUCCCCAAACUCACAGGCUGGAGCUAGGCCCUGGGCCGAGGUUGGGAACCCUGAAAGUGACAAAGGACGAGUAGAGGGGCUGCAGGGAAGCCAAGAGUGAGGGUGUCUGGAGGGCAGGGCCGAGCCCAGCUGAUCCUAGCAGAGCCAGGCCGGGCAGGGUGGAGCACUCACCAGCAGCCUCUCGAGGGCGGAGUACAGCUUCCGGACUUUGUGAGGCAGCCGCUGUGAAAAGGAGGCAGAUGAGCGGCUGCUCUGGGGGAGGCCCAGCCCCAUCCAGCACUCCCAGGAGGGCCUGAGGCCUGACCUCAGGAGGGGGCCCUCCAGACCACACUUACCUCCCAGGUGUGGGCUAGGCGGCUGAUGGCCGAGUUGCUGAGGCCAAACAUGACGGCAAAGAAGGAAUUGAGAUUCUUCUGCUCCUUGAGGCUGUGAGCAGAAGACCCAGAGACCCUCAGGGUAAGGGAAGCAGCCACCCCUACAGUGCCCCCAGACAACAGCCAGGCCAGCCUCUGCAGAGAUCCAAGCUGGAUGGGGUGGGAAGGCAGAGGCUCCAGGGGACCCAGGGAACAAAUAGGGUGGCAGAUUUGGCAACAUACUAAGCAAAGAGGGGGGCUUAGGAAAAGGUAGCCGGGGGGACUCUGGCCACGCCCUACCCACUGGACAGGGACUCACUGGGCCGCCAGCUUAAUGAACUUCCUGAGCAGCUGGGCCCGGGGGCCGGGCACGGGGCAGAGACACAGCUCGGUGGCCACCCAGUACUGCAGCUCAUUGAAGCGGCGCAUGAAGCGCUCCAGGUUGGCGGUGGUGACAUCCCGCAGAUGCUGGGGGCCCAGCACAUAGUGGAUCAGCUCCACCUGGGUGGGGUCAGCAGGAGAGGUCAGCGAGUGCUGAGCCGAGCCGGGCGCCCCGCCGCCUGCUCUCCUCCCCCAGCUCUGCCUCCCAUACCUGGUGGAUACUGUUGAAGAGGCUCCAGUCGUGGUCCGUCAGCUGGCCUGCCAGGUCCUUGGCACUCACCAGGUCCAGCCCCUCAGCAGAGCCCACAGUGGGCCCCAGCUGGUCAGGGUGUGGGAUCUGCGGGUGGGAGAGUGCUCAGGGGGCUGCCUGAGGAAUCCAGGGAAAGGCACAGGGUAGGGGGAGAGGGUUGGGGCAAGGACUCUAUGCUCGUGUUAGGAGGAGGGUUAGGAGGGCAGGAGUGGGGAGUAGAGGGUCUCUAGGGGCUAUAGCAGCUGGAGGAUAGGGCUCCCCAGUGCUGAGACCCCUCCUUUUGGGCUCCUGUCUCCUGGGGAACCCCUAACUAGGGCAGGUCCUCCUCUUUCUCCUUGGGAGCUCCCAACCAGUGCUACCAGCCCCUGCCCUGCACUAUCUUGGGAAUUCCCCCAUCAGCUGAGGCCCACUCCUUUGUGUGCUGAGGACCCAGCAGCAGCCAGAGCCAGGCCCCUCCUCCCUCUUCUCCCUGGGACCCUCCCCAGAAUCCACCACUGCCACACUCAAAAUAGAUCUCCUCCCUGGGCCCUGGCACCCUGCCUGGUCCCUACCAGCUCAUGCACUUCCUGUGGGUUGACAACAAAGAGACGCUCAUUGAGCCCCAGAGAUGUGGCCACACCACGGGCAUCUGGCUGCAGGCCAAUGGCAUCUGCAAAGACAGCAGAGGCGGACUGGGUGGGGGAAGGGAGGGAGGCCGGGGACCAGCUGGAUGCCAGGGUGGAGGUGCUGUUUGGGAGGCUGAGAGGUUGUUUCUCCUAGUAGCGGGGUUGAAGUCCUGGGUGGUGCUCAGAAUACACAGGUGCAUGUGCCCACGCAGCCACGCAGCCCAGGGAAGCACAUCCAAGAGGAUGAGGAAAGAUUCUCAGUGAGUCAGGAAGAACCUGGGCAGGGUCUGAGCCUCCCUCAGCCUCACUUUCUUCCCUGGUAAAAUGGAGACAAUAAGACUUGCCCCAACUAUUUCAUAAGUCAAAUAAAAUAAUGUAUAUAAAUAGUAGCUAUAAGUACAUGCUAUGUAUAAAAGCCCUUUGAAAAUUGGGAAGUGUCUUAUAUAAGCCUUGGUGUUGAUUUUCAUCAGCUCCUCAUGGACUGGGACUGUGCUUGAGUCCCCAGUCCCUAGAGCAGUGGCCUCCAAAGUAAGGUACAUCAGAUCAUCCAUGUGCCUGGGGAAAAUAUGAGCUCUUCUACUUACGUUUACUUUUUCUACCUGCUUUGCAUUUCUACUCCAUCAAUUUCUAUUUUAUCUAUCUUUAUUAUGAUAUUAAUGUAGUAAUAUAUGUGUAUUACUUACAAACAAAUAUUCACACAGUGGGGUGUGGGUUUUAAUUAAAUGUUGGUUAUUGA
ensembl:lncRNA RPAP3-DT RPAP3 divergent transcript